rnacentral:lncRNA from 1 species
GGCGUCCAGCAACCCAGCCCCGUGCACAGCCGGCGCAGGGAGCCGCUCCUCCGCCCGCGCUUCCUCCUGCCCCAAAUCCCCGCCCGCCCCGCAGCUGUAGUUCCCGGGCGCCUCCGCCGCCGCGCAGCUCUACGGCUCCCCAGCCCGACGCGGACUACGACUCCCAGGAUGCUCCGCGCCGCCUCCGCCGGGGACGCGUGGCCGCCGCUCCUUGUGCAAUGGCCCUCGCGCUCGCCAAGGGGUUUCUGGGAAGCGUAGUCCUCGCCGCUUUGGUCCCGGGCAGGUUGCUAUGUAAGCAAACCUGGGGACGGAGGAAGCUUCUGCAAGAGAGAGAGAGAGAGUGAGGGGGUUUGUUUUGUUAAGCUGCGCCAGAUUGCUCCAGUAUUUCUCAAGAGAUGAACCGUCAGUAUGUUGAAGACCGGAUUGUGGAAGUGGACCCUCUUCCCUUCACCUGGAGCGUGGAAACACCUGGGCCUCAUUAUGCUCUCUGUUUGAAGAUGUCGCGGCUUAAGCAAUUAGCGUUCAACUUUGAGUUUGGAUCUGUAGACCCCAGGCAAUCAUUUCCAAAGACAGAAUUUCCUGAACGGUAGGAUUGUUAAGCUUGACAUCUCUUUAAAUGAACUCCAAGAGAUUCCACCCGAAGCCCUUUUCCCGUUUGAGAAUUUGGCCGAGCUGGACGCGUCGCUUAAUGCUUU